rnacentral:misc_RNA from 1 species
AAAGUGCGAUAACUCUGGUGAACUGCAACUGGCGCGAUUCCUUGAAACUUUGAACGCAAACUGUGCCCCGGCGUAACAGCCGGGGCGUGUUUGUUUGAGCGUCGCAUACAAAAACCUGCCGCCUCGCGCGCGCAACGAUGGGCUUUGCGGUUCGUUCCGCAUCGCUUCAAAUACAUUGGUAGGCUCACACGGUGUAACCUGCAUCAAACCAGUCGUUGUUGGGAAGGUAAAACUUCGUUUCGCGGUCGGUUUUUUCGCAACUUCCGGUGGGUCGUAACGCCAUUCUCUUGACUCAUUCUCUCGACCUCAAAUCAAGCACGAUUACCCGCUGAAUUUAA